AGGAUAAACGCUGGCGGCGUGCCUAACACAUGCAAGUCGAACGCUCAACGCAAGUUGAGAGUGGCGGACGGGUGAGGAACGCGUGGGUAUCUGCCCUGGGGUGAGGAAUACCGGCGAGAAAUCGCCGACAAUACCGCAUACGAUCGCGCAAGCGAUCAAAGUCGCAAGACGCCCGAGGAUGAGCCUGCGCCCGAUUAGCUAGAUGGUGGGGUAAAAGCCUACCAUGGCGACGAUCGGUAGCUGGUCUGAGAGGACGAUCAGCCACACUGGGAUUGAGAACGGCCCAGACUCCUACGGGGGCAGCAGUGAGGAAUUUUCGUCAAUGGGCGCAAGCCUGAACGAGCAACGCCGCGUGCGGGACGACGGCCUUCGGGUUGUAAACCGCUUUCUGUGGGAAGAGAACGGACGGUACCACAGGAAGAAGCCCCGGCUAACUACGCGCCAGCAGCCGC
rnacentral:rRNA from 1 species